UGAAAUGUUUGUGAUGAUGCAAUCUCCCCGCGGAAAGACGGAAAGACCCCAUGAACCUUUACUGUAGCUUUGUAUUGGACUUUGAACAGAUCUGUGUAGGAUAGGUGGGAGGCUUUGAAGUGCGGUCGCUAGAUCGCAUGGAGCCAACGUUGAAAUACCACCCUGGUGUGUUUGAGGUUCUAACCUAGGCCCAUUAUCUGGGUCGGGGACAGUGCAUGGUAGGCAGUUUGACUGGGGCGGUCUCCUCCCAAAGUGUAACGGAGGAGUUCGAAGGUACGCUAGUUACGGUCGGACAUCGUGACG
rnacentral:rRNA from 1 species